rnacentral:lncRNA from 1 species
UCCGGUUAAAGGAUGACGCAUGUUAAACGCGUCACCAAGAAGGAGAGCUCCUGGCGUAGGGAUGGGGUCAGCAGGCAUGCUACGGUUCGGCAUUGUUCUUAUGUUACCUUUCUCAACAGCUGAGAGGAAGGCCUCUCGGAUCUCGAUAGGUACUUGUGGUGCAACGGUUGUUUUGAGAUGUUUAGCCAUGUCGCCGCUUGCGAGUGAAGGUAGUUUUGAGCCAGGUACGUCCACUAAGCAACGGACUUCAGAGCUGCUUAUGGGGUAGAAGAGAAUGGGUGAAGGGUCGCCGAGGACAACGUGGCCGUGGUUUGGAAAGGGAAGCUCGCAGUUCUCUAAGACGAGACCGACGAAGUUUGAUGGUACUUCUACUUUAGGUUUGCAAAGAGAGCGACGUAAGUUGGAGAAACAACCAUCGCAUACGAUGGUGAGUGGAGCAUAUGAUUUAAGUUCUUGUCCUUCUUUGGUUUUGUAUUGAACGCCUUUAAUUACUCCGUUUUCUUCUACUAAUGAUGUCACUGUUCCUUGCUCCAUUUUAACACUGAAAGAAAAUAAUUCAAGUGAGAUUUUAUAGUAAUAAGCAACCUAAAUAAAUGCGUAAACCACAAGGUGGUCGUUUAGGCGGACUUUGGCGAGCUACAAGGGUUAGAAUGCACCCCAUUAACACUUUAUCUAGUGGUCAUGUGGAUAUAAAGCUAUGCUUUAGGCCUCAUUUAAAUAUUUGAAUAGAGGGUUUAUCUAUGAGCUGCAUCUCUCCUCAUGGACUGAUUUAUGUAUUUCCAUAUGCUCGGAAUACCUCGGGUUAAUAAAAAAAAGUGUACUUCUUACUUGGGAAGUGUAGAAGCUUUCUCUCGCAUCCUCUGCACAAAUCUACCAUUGUGAAAGCUACGACCAGCCACAUCAGAAUCAAACUGAUCAAGAGGGUAAGAGAGUUUGGUGUGUUUCCCAUCUUUGAAGAGUGCAUAACCAAGAACUCUCUGCGCAUCUAUCUCCUUCACACAAUCUACAACACACACAAGUCAAGUCAGCGUUGUAAUAAUAUAGAGAUGAACUAUAUUGGUUGAUUUUGGUUUUACCUUCAAGCCCGAGUUCGAUUAACUUCAAGUAUCCACCUGGUUGAAGCAACUCACCAACAAUCCGGUCAGGUUCGGUUAAGUCUCUUUCAAUAACGUGAACUCUUCUCCCUUCCUACAACAGCCAAAAAAGAACUUUAACUUUGGUUCCGUGACGCUGACGAGAACCAUAAAAUCAGCAACAAGCAAAACCCAUGUUUCAUAUCGCAACUUGAUCCUCGAAAACAAUAACAUCCUUAAGACGAUUGUCCUUAAGAGAACUAAACCUAACAUAGCUUCUGUUGCAAGAAUUCAAUGACGCUGAGAGACAAUGAAUACUAAUAAAUUAAUAAACAAUUUAAUAAGAUUCAAACACAAACGUAUACCAAUAAAUUAUAAUAAUAAUAAUAAACAAUUCUUGAUUACCUUGCCGAGUGUAUGAGCAAGGGCAGCGCCGGCAACACCAGCGCCGACAAUGAUGAUAUCGACGUCAUUGUUUCCAGGUUUCACCGUUAGGGGUUCGUUGUUUCUGCUCACAAUCUCCUUGCUCCGACGUCGCAGGAGGUAGAGAAGCAGAGACGCGAACAAGGAGGCGAAGCAUGUUGUCAGGAUUAAGUGAUCGACGGCCAUUUAUCUCCGCCGCUCGCGAGCGACCAAUCAAUGUCGGUGAUUCGAGGAGGGUUGUUACGAAACGACGCGUAGUUUUUUUUUUGUGUAAGGAAAACGAUCUUGUUGGUAUUAUUAUGUCAAGGAUGAAGAGGUUGUGGUUGUGAAUCGAACUCGUGGCUUCUUAAUAAUUUCAUAAGUUUACAAGGACGAAAAUAAUUAAAAAUAUAGGUAAGACGUAACCUACAAUAAAUACCUGUUAACAUAAUUAUUAAAGAUAUUUUUAGUAAUUACAGAAUCAACCUAAAUACAUUAGCCAGUUAGAUAUCCGUGUGUUUCAACUUCUUUUUAACCUUAAUUUUUGUAAUGAAAUGCUAAUUAUCAUAUACUAUCUAACAGUGAUGGUUUAAUUUGUUUUCUUGUACCAAUAUAACCAAACCUUAAACACAUGGUUGAAUGACAUGUCUUGUGUGUUUCAAGUUCUUUUAACCUUAACUUUUGUAGUGAAAUGCUAAUUAUAAUUAUUCUUACGGUAUGGUUUAAUUUGUUGUUUAUACCAAUAUACCCCAAACCUGUCGAUCACGAUGACCUUCCCACAUGUGACAACGAAAAUUAUCAGAAGAAGAAGACACGUGGGAUGAUAUUGCCUUCAUAUCUCCUAUAACAAACAAACGUUACAUUUUCGACACAAUUAAAGUGCAAUUAAAUACGACUGGGACAGAAUAUCUAAGCAUAUGUGAUAUGACUUUAUGUGGACUUAAAUGUUUCCGACCCCUACAAUCUUAUUCCUACCAAUCAACCACCACAACACAAAGUUGAAUUGUUUAACGAGUCAAAUGUUUGGGCCUAAGCUGGAAAUAAUAAUGGGCCAUGGGCCGAUAUAAUACGCAUAUCUACGGGUUUAAAACCAACUCUUCCACAUCAUACGACCGAGUUUGGGCCAAUUCAUGCACACGUGUGGAACAACAUGUGCAAAAGACAUUAUUACGUAUGUAAAAUGAAAAUCAAUGGUUUCAACUUUCAGCUUUCAAGUUCAACAAAACUGAACCAACCACACAUUCAUUUAUCCCACGUAUGGGGCUACAGUGAUAUUACGUCAGGCAUCAUUAUUUCAUAGUAAGUGGCAUCAAUAAAUUCUCUCUAGUUUUUUCUUUUUUCAAAAAUUUACUAAUUUAAAUUGUUUUAUUUAUUGAAAAGUUCCCUAAAAAUCAUGGAGGACGGAAUAUUUUAAAAUUUUGGUGAAACUUUAGGUAAAAGCUGAUACUGGGGUGGGGUGUGAAAAAGAGACAAAAGAAGGGAAUGUAGAGAUGAGGUGGUGAGGUAUGUUGGAUUGUUGUGGGACGAUAUGGUCAAUAAAGCAAAUCGCAUUAUUGGAGACACAUUACAUAUUUAACUCACUUUCAUCUUCUUGUUUCGACGUACUAGAAAGAACAAAGUAUGAGGAAAAUAUAUUGAAGUGACUAGAAACCUAAUUAUUACAUAUGGGUCAUUUCAUCUCCAUGCACAUUCUCUUUUCAUAUUUUUGCCUUAUCUUUAUACGAUAUUAACAUUCUAAUCGAUUACCAAAACCAUCAAUGCCAUCAAAUCAGUCUCUAAAUGUUCACGUUUUCAAAAAAUAACUAUCUAAGUAAAUUGAGUAUCAAAACAUACAUGCUACUAAUUUGGUGUUGUUUGAGUUGGUCUAAAUCAUUUUCCACGAUUUCACCAAGAUCUUUUCCAUGAUCAGAUGACUACAAUAUCAAAAUUAUCAAUAUAAAUUUACGUACUCAUUUGAUAAUUUAUAUAUGCAACUAAGAUGCAAGGUUUGUAAAAAGAAAUGCAUUGAUAACAUAUGUUAUAGAGAGAUUCAUUCUGUUUCACAUGAAUACAACUCAAAAGAAACAUAUAACGCUCCUAAGCAGACUAUUUAUAUCGAUAAACUAAACCGAACAAUAAUUCAAACCGGAUAAACCCGGAGAUAAACUUACACACUUGGACCCUAAACCAAGAAAACCAGAGUUAGCCAUUAGAUUGGAUCAAGAAUCAGCCCACGCAGCGAAAACCGGCAUCUGCGGCAGAGUAAGAGAAACGGUCUUGAGGUCAGCAUUAGGGUUCGUGGUCCAAGAACUCAUAUUUCCAACCACAUUUGCUCCGAACAUCUUCGGACCAACUUGAGGCAACGCAAAUAUCGUCGGAAAACUCAAAACCCUCUCCGGGCUACCCACUUCCUUAGUAGAACCACCGUCCACGACAGCGGUUAAGGCGGUUUCCUCGUCGCUAAUGUUGCGGACCACGAUGCUGUUGCUGUUCCUUCGAGCCAUCUCUCCAGACAAGAGAGUGUUACUAGCCAUUAUGCGAUCAACAUCGUACCUUGUUAUGUCAAAGUUAGUCACCGCGUUUGUGCCACGGAACUUGAUAGCUGCCACAUCAUAGGCUUCCGCCGCUUCUUCUUGAGUUCCUAAUAGGGUAAAAAAAUAUCACUUGAGAUACAAGCAAGUGAAAAGGAUUUUUACUGACCAUACAUCCAUGGGUGAAAAUUACCGAAAGUUCCAAGGUAGAGAUCUUUGUUUCCAGCGACUCUACCGAUCCGGGCUUGCCACCUUCCAUGCUGGUGAUGUCUUUUAUAAUAGAAACACGAAGUCAAUAUGAAAUAAAUAAAUAAAACUAUAUAUUAGUAUAAAGUUACUUAGAUGAAAUUAAAGGUACCUGGUGACUCCUCUAUAGAUGGAAGCACCCCUAGAGAAACCACUGCUUUUUCUUCUCAAGCCGACGCAUCUCGCUUCUCGCAUCGUCAGGAGACGCCAAAAACACUUUAUACAAAGCCCCCGCGAGUGUAUUAAUAGUCGACGCAACCGGUUUCCGCAACGUGUAGAAAGACUCGAUGUACUUGGACAACGACUCUUUAUCGGUUAAGUCAACAAGAGGGUUUAAAAGAUCACGUAGGAUGACUAUAUCAGACAAUGCCACGGUCAUACCGCCUCCGGUUAAAGGAUGACGCAUGUUAAACGCGUCACCAAGAAGGAGAGCUCCUGGCGUAGGGAUGGGGUCAGCAGGCAUGCUACGGUUCGGCAUUGUUCUUAUGUUACCUUUCUCAACAGCUGAGAGGAAGGCCUCUCGGAUCUCGAUAGGUACUUGUGGUGCAACGGUUGUUUUGAGAUGUUUAGCCAUGUCGCCGCUUGCGAGUGAAGGUAGUUUUGAGCCAGGUACGUCCACUAAGCAACGGACUUCAGAGCUGCUUAUGGGGUAGAAGAGAAUGGGUGAAGGGUCGCCGAGGACAACGUGGCCGUGGUUUGGAAAGGGAAGCUCGCAGUUCUCUAAGACGAGACCGACGAAGUUUGAUGGUACUUCUACUUUAGGUUUGCAAAGAGAGCGACGUAAGUUGGAGAAACAACCAUCGCAUACGAUGGUGAGUGGAGCAUAUGAUUUAAGUUCUUGUCCUUCUUUGGUUUUGUAUUGAACGCCUUUAAUUACUCCGUUUUCUUCUACUAAUGAUGUCACUGUUCCUUGCUCCAUUUUAACACUGAAAGAAAAUAAUUCAAGUGAGAUUUUAUAGUAAUAAGCAACCUAAAUAAAUGCGUAAACCACAAGGUGGUCGUUUAGGCGGACUUUGGCGAGCUACAAGGGUUAGAAUGCACCCCAUUAACACUUUAUCUAGUGGUCAUGUGGAUAUAAAGCUAUGCUUUAGGCCUCAUUUAAA